UGGGGAAUAUUGGACAAUGGGCGAAAGCCUGAUCCAGCAAUGCCGCGUGAGUGAUGAAGGCCUUAGGGUUGUAAAGCUCUUUUACCCGGGAUGAUAAUGACAGUACCGGGAGAAUAAGCUCCGGCUAACUCCGUGCCAGCAGCCGCGGUAAUACGGAGGGAGCUAGCGUUGUUCGGAAUUACUGGGCGUAAAGCGCGCGUAGGCGGUUACUCAAGUCAGAGGUGAAAGCCCGGGGCUCAACCCCGGAACUGCCUUUGAAACUGGGUGACUAGAAUCUUGGAGAGGUCAGUGGAAUUCCGAGUGUAGAGGUGAAAUUCGUAGAUAUUCGGAAGAACACCAGUGGCGAAGGCGACUGACUGGACAAGUAUUGACGCUGAGGUGCGAAAGCGUGGGGAGCAAACA
rnacentral:rRNA from 1 species